rnacentral:rRNA from 1 species
UGAGGAAUAUUGGACAAUGGGGGCAACCCUGAUCCAGCCAUGCCGCGUGAGUGAAGAAGGCCUUAGGGUUGUAAAGCUCUUUCAAUGGUGAAGAUAAUGACGGUAACCAUACAAGAAGCUCCGGCUAAAUUCGUGCCAGCAGCCGCGGUAAUACGAAUGGAGCAAGCGUUGUUCGGAAUAACUGGGCUUAAAGCGUAUGUAGGCGGACCAGAAAGUCAGAAGUGAAAUCCCGAGGCUUAACCUCGGAACUGCUUUUGAAACUCCUGGUCUAGAAUACUGGAGAGGUUGGGAGAAUUCCUAGUGUAGAGGUGAAAUUCGCAGAUAUUAGGAGGAAUACCAGUGGCGUAGGCGCCCAACUGGACAGUUAUUGACGCUCAGAUACGAAAGCGUGGGGAGCAAACAGGAUUAGAUACCCCCGUAGUCC